UACGAAGGGGGCUAGCGUUGCUCGGAAUCAUUGGGCGUAAAGGGUGCGUAGGCGGUCGUGCAAGUCGGAUGUGAAAUCUCAGGGCUCAACCCUGAAACUGCAUUCGAUACUGCGUGGCUAGAGUGCUGGAGAGGAGACUGGAAUUUACGGUGUAGCAGUGAAAUGCGUAGAUAUCGUAAGGAAGACCAGUGGCGAAGGCGAGUCUCUGGACAGCAACUGACGCUGAGGCACGAAGGCCAGGGGAGCAAACGGG
rnacentral:rRNA from 1 species